rnacentral:tRNA from 1 species
GCUCGUGUAGCUCAGCGGGAGAGCACUCCCUUGGUAAGGGAGAGGCCGUCAGUUCAAUCCUGAUCACGAGCUCCA